UACGUAGGGUGCGAGCGUUAAUCGGAAUUACUGGGCGUAAAGCGUGCGCAGGCGGUUCGCCAAGUCAGGUGUGAAAUCCCCGGGCUUAACCUGGGAAUUGCGCUUGAAACUAGCGGGCUUGAGUGCGGCAGAGGGGGGUGUAAUUCCACGUGUAGCAGUGAAAUGCGUAGAGAUGUGGAGGAGCACCGAUGGCGAAGGCAGCCCCCUGGGUCGACACUGACGCUCAUGCACGAAAGCGUGGGGAGCAAACAGG
rnacentral:rRNA from 1 species